rnacentral:rRNA from 1 species
AUGCCGUCGUGGCCGAACAGCAACAAGACGUCGGACGAUGAUGACGGGUACAUGAGCGAGUUCAGCAGCAUGCAGAUGGAGUACUUUCAAACUCCUGACACUGUGAUAGACCCUAGUUUCUGUGGGCUUGUGACUGAAUCUGACAGAAGGUGCAUCCUGCACAGGCAGAGGGCGGGCAAGUUUGUGGCAUUUGAAGGCACUGACACUGGCAGGAGAUUCAUAGGAUGUGCUACUGAGGAUGGUGUGAACUGUGGUGUUCUGGAGUGGGUAGAUGCCCCCUGGCCUGUAAUUCUGCAAAGGCGCUUAAGCAAGCUCUGGGAUAUGUAUCAUGAGUAG